GACGGAAGGUGCAAGCGUUGCUCGGAAUCACUGGGCGUAAAGGGUGCGUAGGCGGCCGUGCAAGUCUGGCGUGAAAGCCCCGGGCUCAGCCCGGGAAGUGCGCUCGAAACUGCGCGGCUCGAGUGCCGGAGGGGAGAGUGGAAUUCCUGGUGUAGCGGUGAAAUGCGUAGAUAUCGGGAGGAACACCAGUGGCGAAGGCGGCUUCCUGGCCUGUUCUUGACGCUGAGGCGCGAAAGCUAGGGGAGCAAACGGGG
rnacentral:rRNA from 1 species